rnacentral:misc_RNA from 1 species
UACGGAGGGGGCAAGCGUUAUUCGGAAUUACUGGGCGUAAAGAGCGCGUAGGCGGCCUCGUAAGUGAGAAGUGAAAGCCCUCGGCUUAACCGGGGAACGGCUUCUCAUACUGCGGAGCUAGAGUGUGGGAGAGGGAAGUGGAAUUCCUGGUGUAGCGGUGAAAUGCGUAGAUAUCAGGAGGAACACCGGUGGCGAAGGCGACUUCCUGGACCAAGACUGACGCUGAGGCGCGAAAGCGUGGGGAGCAAACAGG